UGCCAGCUGAAUUUGUUUUUCUGCAAAAAUGAUUAUAAAUUGUAAAUUCAAGGCGAACACCUCGCUUCCAGUCACUAUAAUUUUAUUAUUAUCCUCUGAGCUCUCCUGCUGUUGGGCUCCUUCUCCCUCUUGGGAUUUCAUAGAUUUACUGCCUCCCGAGAGAGUUCUGACAAUUGCUUGUAAUUCCAAAAUCCCGUGGUUUUUUUUUGUUUUUUUUUUUUAAUAACUGUCUUCUGUGUUUGAUAAAAUUAGAGUUUCUAGAGGUUUUUGUUGUUCAUUUGUUGCUAUUGUAUGAUUUCCAGCAGGGGAAAAAGGACUAUGAUGACUUUCUCAGUCAUGUUUAUGCAACAAUUCUGUGCUUUGGAAGAGUUAAGCAAGACUGGGGAACUUAUGGCUAGCUUUCCACAGAUGGACUGUAAACUCUGAGAAGCAAAUCCACUGCUAUGAUAAGACCAUGAAAACCUGAGGUCUCCAAGGAUGAUCCUGGAGUCAAUGAUUGAAUGACAUACAUCCGUAUAAUCUUUUGGGAGUAAUGUGGCAAUUUCACACAGAAGAAGAAUGUAGCUUUUAAGAGCAAACACAAUAGCUGGAAAAAGUUAUUCCCCAAAGGGUGUGAGAAAGGGAUGCCUGUUACUUGUUAAAUGGAGAAGGAAGAGCAAGAAUUUGGAGAUAUUUGUGAAAAUAAAAAUACACCCCAAUUUAAAAAUCCUACAUGUAAAGAAAUCUAACAACCAUUGACAAGGUGUUUGUACCAAGUCGAUGCCAGCUUUAUCUCCAACUGCCUACACCCUUAAUGAAACUUGAGGACCUCAUGAGACUUUCAAUGCAUCUUUUCCACAAUGAAAAUAUCAAGGGUUGUUGACAACGCAGUAAUCUGGCCUGGACCUUGCACGUUCAGGGAUGGCCCAGAUGUGAACAGAGAUGUACGUAACACUGCUGAAAUUCAUUUCCCUGAGAACUGUAAUCGUACUGAUCCAAAGAGCUGGAUAAAAAGCACACCUAAGACGCCAGUGGCUUAUAUCAAUGAAAGUUUAUUUCUUACGUACACUCCAUGUUUAUUGUGACUUGACUAUGGGAUCCAUUUCUCAGCUUUCCCCUCUGGACUCCAGCCUGGGAGCCCUGUCACUAUCUGGAGUGUAAGCAGCUCCUCUGGGGGCAGGAAGAGAAAGCAUACAGAAUUUCAAACUGUGUCCUAACAUUUCUACUGAACUUCCAUCUGCCAGAAUGAGUUAAAGUAACAUGCCCAGCUUCGUGGGAGUGGGAAAAAUGCAGUCCCACAGCAUGACUACGAAGAUUAGAUCAUCACUGACCAGCCCUAACGUCAGCCAGAAAUGUACAUAUUUGAUGAUAUUUCCAUUGUAUUUCUGUUCUGUGUUGCUGAUGAAAAAAGGGAAAUGGAAAGAACUUCUCCUUACAUCUUUACUAUUUAAUUUGACCUCCCAACAAAAAAAGGAAAAACCUCACAGGACAUAUUUUACAUAUUUACAUGUCCAUGGUAACAAUGAUCAUUUACCAUUAGAUGGUAGGAAAAAAUGUUCUAAAAGGGUUUGGAGCAGUGAAAGAACUUUGUCAAGACCCUUCUUCUUUAUCUUUCUUUUAAAAUUUUUUUUAAGUUUAUUUAUUUUGAGAGAGGGAGAGCACACAGGGGGGGCAGAGAGAGAGAGAGAGAGAGAGAGAGGGAGAGAGAAAGAAAGAGACAGACAGAGACGGAGAGAAUCCCAAGCAGGCUCCACGUUGUCACAGUUCAGCCCAAUGAGGGGUUCCAUCUCACAAACUGUGAGAUCAUGACCUGACCUAAAAUCUAGAGUUGACUGCUUAACCGAUGAAACCACCCAGGUGUUCCUCCCUGAUCUUUCUUAUAGAACAGAAGCCUUAAUGUUCAGAAGAGAAGGGCAAAAACCACUGUUGUCCAUUAAAAAUAAGGGAAGGAGAUGAAAAAAAUCACCUCUGCCCCUGGUAGAGGGGCAGGGAUACAUAUUGGACCCAGAAUGACAUAAUGGGAGAUAGAAGGCGUGUGGAUAGAGCUACAAACAUAAGACCUAGGUCUUAGACUAGCCCUCAGGUAGAAGCUCAGUCAAGACAGUAGAUUAUAUCCCAAACCACCACACCACAGUAACCAGCUCUUGCUAAGAAGCCACCUGCAAGUCGUAGACCCUCUUUGAGGUAGCACAUGAAGAGAGAGACCAAAAGCUGAGAGUUUGGGAAGGUGCUGUAAAAUAAAAAGUCUUCUGAUUAAACAGUCCCACCCACUAGAAAAAUAUGUAGCACAGAGAGGGAAACCAUAGCAACAACAAAUCUCAAACCCAGUUCAAUUCCUAAUUAGAUUAAUUCUAACCUGACAAUAAAGUCCUAGCAGAAAGAAAGGUGUGCCCAUUGCUAGACAUAAACACUGUCUAUCUCGGUCUUUACUGUAGUAACACAAAAUAUCUUGUCUUCACAAAAAUUGCAAAGCAUUAGCAAAGAAAAAAAAAGCACCAAAAAACAAAGCAAUCCUUAAAAUCACACUCAGAUACGGCAUAGAUGCUAGAACCAUCUAGCAAGAAAUUUCAAGUAACUAUGAUUAAUAUGUAAGGGCUCUAAUUAAAAAUAGAGACAACAUGCAAUAUCAAUUGGGUAAUUUCCUCAGAGAGAAGCAAACUAUAAAAAAGUAUCAAAUGGAAGUGUUAGAAAUGAAGAAUAAUAAUGGAGAUAAAGACUGUCCUUGACAGGUUCCUCAGUAGACUUGGGGGCCAAGGUGUAUUAGUUUGCUAGGGCUGCCAUUACAAAGUAUCACAGAUUUGGCAGGUUAAAUAACACAAGUAUGUCCUCCUCAAUAUGGUAAUCUAGAAGACUAAAAUUGAGGAGUUGAUAGGCCUCUGACACCUCUCUCCUUGGCUUGCAGAUGGUCAUGUUCUCCCUGUAUCUUCACAUGAUCUUCCCUCUGUGUAUGUCUGUGUCCUAAUCACCUCCACCAGGAAUAACACCAAUAAUAUUAGAUUAGGACUCAGCCUAACGACUUCAUUUCAACUUAAUGAUUUCUUUAAAAAGUUUACCAAAACAGACUCUAUUAAUUAGUCAUAGUCUGAGCUCUUGUGGGAUAGGACUUCAAUGUAUACAUUUGGGGCAUAACUCAGCCCAAAACACACGGAGAAAUUCAGUGAACUUGAAGAUAGAUCCACAGAUAUUACACAAAUUGAAACUUGAAAGAGAAGAACGAGAGGAGGAAUAUCCAGUAGAAGAGAUUAUCCCAGAGCUGCGAGGCAAUAGUGAAUGGUCUAUUAUAUAUAUAAUUAGAAUCCCAGAAGGAGAAGAGACUGAGUAGUGAGGAAAAAAAUUAAAGAAAUAAAGGUGAAUAAUUUUUUUUAAAUAAUGACAGACACCAUUUAUCAGAUAGGAGAAGUUCAGGCAACACCAAGCAGGAAAAACACCAAAUAUACACAAAUACACAUUCACCGCAUACACACCACAUCACACCUGAGAAUAUCAUAUUCAAACUGAUAAAAACAAAAUGUAAAGAAAACCUUGAAGGAGGUCAGAGAAAAAGACACAUUACUUACACAAGAAUGAAGAUAAUAAUCAAGGCAGACUUUUCAUUAGAAGCGAUCAAACUAGAAAACAAUGGUGUGACGUCUCUAAACUUCUUAAAGAACAAAAAAAAAAAUCCUGUCAAUCGAAAAUUUUCUACUCAGCCAAAAAUAUGCUUAAAAGUUAAAGAAAACUAAGACAUUUUUUUCAGAUUAAAAAAGUAAUAAACUGGGAGUUUGAUGGAAGAAGUUUUCUGGGCCAAAGAAAUAUGACAACAGAAAUUUAGACCUACACAAAAAAAGGAAUAGUGCUAGAAUAGAAGUAACAUGAAAUCAUUUUCUUAUUUUAAUUACUCUAAAAAACAGCUGAUUAUGUAAAGCAAAGACAGUAGGAUUAUGUACCGCAUGCGUAGCUUAUAGAAAAGCACAACAUAUGACAACAAUAGCAUGAUGGAGGAAAAGGAGGAGUUAAGAAUAUACUGUUAUAAGUUUCCUACAUGACACAUAAUCUUAUUUAAAUGUAGACAUUGAUGAACUCAAGACGUAUGUUAUAAAACACGUAUAUUAUAGACCCUAGAACCACAACUAAAUCUUCUUUAUCAAUAAAGGAGAUAAAGUGAAAUUAUAAAAAGAAUACAAGAAGAGACAGAAAAAGAGAAAAAUAAACAAAGCAAAAUAGAAAACAGCUGGAAAGUUAGUAUAUAUUAAACCAACAAUGUUAAUCAGCAUCACUUAAAAUGAGAACAGUGCAAACAUACCAGGGAAGAAAGACAAAUUGUCAGGCUAGAUAGAACAAGAACCACCUGUAUAUUGCCCACAGGACAGCCGCAGUAAAUGUAGUUAUACAUGUGUUAAAAGUAUAAGGAUGGACACACCGAUUUAUGUUGCCACCAGCAGUGCAUGAGCAUUCUGUGGUGGCAGAUGGUGACGGCAUUUAUCACGGUGAGCACUGAGCCCAGUAGAAUUGUUCAAUCACUAUUUAUACACCCAAAAACAUUAUAACACUUCAUGUCGACUCUAUCUCAGCAAUAAAAGUAGGAAACAAAAGUAUAAAGAUGGAAAAAGAUAUGCUCUACAAACACUAACAAAAGAUAGACCGAGCAGUUGCAUUAAUAUCAAAAUAGCAGAUCAAGGAGUGUUAUCAGGGGUAAAGAAGAAUAUGAAGCAAUGAAAAAGGGGUCAAUUUUUUUUCCAGGGAGACAUAAAAAUGUUAAUAUUAUCCACCUAACAGCAGAGUUUCAAAAUACAUCAAGAAACAACCUAUGGAACUGAAAAGAGAAAUUAGCAAAUUAAUAAUUAUGAUUAGAGACUUAAACAUUCCUCUUUCGGUAAAGGAGAGAAGAACCAGACAAAACAUCAGUAAGGAUACAGAAGACCUGAAAACAUUAUCAAGUAUAAUGACCUAACUAGCAUUUAACAACAACAACAAGAACAACAAUAAAACAAAACACACAUGGAACAUAACAGGAUAGACUUAAUCAAUUAUUUAAAAGCUUAAAAAUGGAAAUUAAUGGAAAGCAUACACCAUAUUCUCAGACCCUGAAAGAAUUAAACUAAAAAUUAAUACAAAAGAAAUAAUGAGGAAAUUCCAAAUAUUUGAUUUAAAAACACUUCAAAAUAACCUAUGAGUUAAAGAGGAAGUCUCAGGAGAAAUUUUUAAAUAUUUUGAACUGACCAAAAAAAAAAAAAACACUCUAAAAAUAUAAUAUAUCAAAA